rnacentral:rRNA from 1 species
CUCAGGAUGAACGCUAGCGACAGGCUUAACACAUGCAAGUCGAGGGGCGGCAUAAAAGUAGCAAUACUUGGUGGCGACCGGCGCACGGGUGAGUAACGCGUAUGCAACCUACCUAUCAGAGGGGAAUAACCCGGCGAAAGUCGGACUAAUACCGCAUAAAACAGGGGCACCGCAUGGUGAUAUUUGUUAAAGAAAUUCGCUGAUAGAUGGGCAUGCGUUCCAUUAGGUAGUUGGUGAGGUAACGGCUCACCAAGCCGACGAUGGAUAGGGGAACUGAGAGGUUGGACCCCCACACUGGUACUGAGACACGGACCAGACUCCUACGGGAGGCAGCAGUGAGGAAUAUUGGUCAAUGGGCGGGAGCCUGAACCAGCCAAGUCGCCGUGAAGGAAGAAGGAUCUAUGGUUCGUAAACUUCUUUUGCAGGGGAAUAAAGUGCAGGACGUGUCCUGUUUUGUAUGUACCCUGAGAAUAAGGAUCGGCUAACUCCGUGCCAGCCGCGGC